rnacentral:misc_RNA from 1 species
AGCAUUAAAGCAUAUAAGCAUGAUGAACUAGCAAAUACAUAUCUAGACACCCAGUAUAAAAUGAAACUUAGCAAGGCCACACACACGUGAAAACAUGCAAGGUAAGCCUUCUUGCAACCACAAACAAGACACAUAAGAGCUGCGCUCAUGCACACAUGGUUUAUAAAAUCCUGUCCAAACCAUGUAGUACAUGUACGGGUUUUU